GAUGAACGCUAGCUACAGGCUUAACACAUGCAAGUCGAGGGCAGCAUGAACAUAGCUUGCAAUGUUUGAUGGCGACCGGCGCACGGGUGCGUAACGCGUAUGUAACCUACCUCAAACAGGGGCAUAACACUGAGAAAUUGGGUACUAAUUCCCCAUAACACCUGAUAGGGCAUCCUAUUAGGUUGAAAGUUUCCGGCGGUUUGAGAUGGACAUGCGUUGUAUUAGCUAGUUGGUGAGGUAACGGCUCACCAAGGCGACGAUACAUAGGGGGACUGAGAGGUUAACCCCCCACAUUGGUACUGAGACACGGACCAAACUCCUACGGGAGGCAGCAGU
rnacentral:rRNA from 1 species